UACAUGGGGUGCAAACGUUGCUCGGAAUCAUUGGGCGUAAAGCGCGCGUAGGCGGUUACUUAAGUUGGAUGUGAAAUCCCACGGCUCAACCGUGGAAGUGCACUCGAAACUGCGCAGCUAGAGUCCUGGAGAGGAAGGUGGAAUGCUUGGUGUAGAGGUGAAAUUCGUAGAUAUCAAGCGGAACACCGGUGGCGAAGGCGGCCU
rnacentral:rRNA from 1 species